GUGUGAUUUAGGCUUUCGGAUCCCAAAGUUCGUUGUCGGGAAAAACAGCUUCAAUAGGAAAUGAUUUUAGUUUGUCCCCACCAUACCAAAAAGGCACGGCUAACUACGGGACCCCUCCCGAGGAAAUACUUAUGUCUCGAGCUUUAUCCGGAUUUAUUGGGCGAAAAUUGAGCGCAUACGGUUUAUUAAGUCUGAUGUGAAAGCCCGGAGCUCAACUCCGGAAUGGCAUUGGAAACUGUUUAACUUGACUGCGCUAGACGCAAGUGCAACUCCGUGUGUAGCUUUGGAAUGCCUGGAUAUAUGGAAGAACACCAUUGGCGAAUGCUGCUUACUGGACUGCAACUGACUUUGAGGCUCUAAAGUGUGGGUAGCAAUCAGGAUUAGAUACCCUGGUCUUCUACUCCGUAAAACGAUGAUCACUAGGUGUUAGGAGGUUUGCCGCCUCUUAGUGCCGAAGCUAACGCAUUAAGUGUUCCGCCUGCAGAGUACGACCGCAAGGUUGAUACUCAAAGGAAUUGACGGUGACCCGCACAAGCUGGUGGAGCAUGUGGUUUAUUUCGAAGCACGCGAAGAACCUUACCAGGUCUUGACAUCUUUUGAAUCUUUUAAACAUAGAGUGUUCUCUUCCGAAAACAAAGUGACCGGUGGUGCAUGGUCAUCGUCACCUUCGUGUCCUGAAAUGCUGGGGUUAAGUUCCCGCAACGAGCGCCAACCCUUUUAUUGGUAGUUGCCAGCAUU
rnacentral:rRNA from 1 species